rnacentral:snoRNA from 1 species
AACCUCCUAGUACUUACCACAGGCUGUGUUCUUACACUGACUGUGUAGAAAGGGGAGGCAAAGUAAACCUACCCAAUAUAUACCUCAGUUCAGGUCCUGUGCCUGGUCUAUGUUAUGAAUAGGAGACAUGG